rnacentral:rRNA from 1 species
AUCAUGCUCAGAUUGAACGCUGGCGGCAGGCUUAACACAUGCAAGUCGAACGGUAACAUAAAGGAGCUUGCUUCUUUGAUGACGAGUGGCGGACGGGUGAGUAAUGCUUGGGAAUCUAGCUUAUGGAGGGGGAUAACUACGGGAAACUGUAGCUAAUACCGCGUAGAAUCGGGAGAUGAAAGUGUGGGACCUUCGGGCCACAUGCCAUAGGAUGAGCCCAAGUGGGAUUAGGUAGUUGGUGG